GUCUACAGCCAAGCCACCCUGAACAAGCGUGAUCCCGUCUGAUCUCAGAAGCUAAGCAGAGUUGGGCCUGGUUAGUACUUGGAUGAAAGACCAUCUAGAAAGACCAGGUGCUAUAGGCG
rnacentral:rRNA from 1 species